UACGAAGGGUGCAAGCGUUACUCGGAAUUACUGGGCGUAAAGCGUGCGUAGGCGGUUCGUUAAGUCAGAUGUGAAAGCCCCGGGCUCAACCUGGGAAUUGCAUUUGAUACUGGCGGGCUAGAGUACGGUAGAGGGUGGUGGAAUUCCCGGAGUAGCAGUGAAAUGCGUAGAGAUCGGGAGGAACAUCCGUGGCGAAGGCGGCCACCUGGACCAGUACUGACGCUGAGGCACGAAAGCGUGGGGAGCAAACAGG
rnacentral:rRNA from 1 species